rnacentral:misc_RNA from 1 species
GGCAUGUCUGUUUGAGUGCCGCAUACAUCAAUGCAGCAAUGCGACUUGACUGUUGUCCCCGGACUCGGUCUAAACGUAGCCAGAUAGUGGCCUGUGUGGGCUAGCUUGAGUGCUAAGCAUUCUCUGGGCUAGCUAGAUGGGUUAUCAAUCAUCAUCAUUUAUUUGGCCUCAAAUCAGGCAAGACUACCCGCUGAACUUAA